rnacentral:rRNA from 1 species
GAUGAACGCUAGCGGCAGGCCUAACACAUGCAAGUCGAGGGGUAACUAGAGUGAUAGCAAUAUUACUUUGGCUAGACCGGCGCACGGGUGCGUAACACGUAUGCAACCUACCUUAUACUGGGGAAUAACUUCGAGAAAUCGGCGCUAAUACCCCAUAACAUUGCGAAGAGGCAUCUCUUUGCAAUUAAAGCUCCGGCGGUAUAAGAUGGGCAUGCGUCCAAUUAGCUAGUUGGUGAGGUAACGGCUCACCAAGGCUACGAUUGGUAGGGGUUCUGAGAGGAUGAUCCCCCACACUGGUACUGGGACACGAGCCAGACUCCUGCGGGAGGGAGCAGUGAGGAAUAUUGCGCAAUGGACGAAAGUCUGACGCAGCCAUGCCGCGUGCAGGAUGACGGCCCUAUGGGUUGUAAACUGCUUUUGUACGGGAAUAAACCCUUCUACGUGUAGGAGGCUGAAGGUACCGUAAGAAUAAGCACCGGCUAACUCCGUGCCAGCCGCCGCCGUAAUAC